CCCACAUAACGGCGAAGUGAACAGGCAAGAGCUCAGAAUUUGAAAGCCUCUCGGGGCAUUGUAUUCUGAAGCCUUGAUUCUGAGAAACGGUACCUAAGUCUUCUGGAAAGGAGCGCCAAGGAGGGUGAUAGCCCCGUACGGUACUGACCUCAUUGUAGAAUCUUGGCGUGGAGUCGAGUUGUUUGGGAAUGCAGCUCAAAUGGGUGGUAUGCUCCAUCUAAAGCUAAAUAUCUGCGAGAGACCGAUAGCGAACAAGUACUGUGAAGGAAAGAUGAAAAGAACUUUGAAAAGAGAGUGAAAAAGUACGUGAAAUUGUUGAAAUGGAAGGAUAGGCCGCUAACCACGUAGAGCCGUGUCUGAGGGGAGGAUAAAAGCUGUAGAAUGUGACUCUUCGGAGUGUUAUAGCUACAGUGCAUACUCCCACUCGGGCGCGAGGACCUAAGGCUCUGCUAAAUGGUGGUCUAUCACCCGUCUC
rnacentral:rRNA from 1 species